rnacentral:lncRNA from 1 species
UCCCCAAAGUCUGUGUCACGAGUGACCUCAUUUCUUGUCCAGCCUUAUUCCUGCACCCUGGCCCGCCCUGGGCCUCUCUGGAGCAGGCUCCCUCUCCUGCUCGCUCUCUUGGCCAGGAUUUUAACAUAUAUCACAGGCUGGUAGGCUAAGAGCUUGGGACUUCCCCUCACCACACUCAAAGCCUUUGAUCUUUUGCUUUGGAGGUAACAUCAAAAGGAAGGCUGAGGAAGACAGCCAGGCUGUGAAGUUCAACGUUCAAGUUAAUAGCUUGACUGAAGGUUGUGCUGCGUCCUGGCAGCAUCACCGAGGCUGCAGUAAACAUGGCGAUUCUGCCACAUUUUCCUGGAAAUGGAGCUGCUGUUGUCAAAGGGCUGCAUCUGCUUUUGGAAUGAAUUGGGGCAUCAGGGAGGGUCUUUCCUUCACCCCCUUUCCUUGGAAGUGUGAAAGCCUGGGGAGACCAUGUAUGUUGGGGAUGUGUGGCGGGGGGAGAGGGAGCCCAGAGGAAGGAUCAGAGAGGGGUGACCCCAUGGAUCGUCCCCUGGAAGUUUCUCUUUCCCUGCUUCCAGGGUUUGCUGUCUGCCCGCCUUUCCGCGUGGCAUCUCUGUACCACUUACUGUUCCUGGGUUAGCCGAGGGUUUCCGAAUUCUGAUGGAAUUCAAAGAAGGCCGCAGGCAGGCAGCUUGGCUGGGGCCUGGGAAGUCUGCGCGGCCCAGGCAAGCACUGCUGCAGUGAGAGAGCAGCCGGCCCCAGCGCCGGGAAGGGAAUUACAGAAAAAGCCAAAGCGAAAUCACCCCUUCAGUCUCUUCUGUUCGGUUUCUCUGCUGAGCUUUGCGGGCACUUGUUUUGAAGCUGGUUUUAUGGAACAUUUUCUGGAAUGCUUCUUUUUCAGGUUUUCAUCCGAAGCUGAGUUGGAGUCGUUUUCUAACACAUUCUGGCCUCAGCACCAUUUGGCACGUGAUUCACAUGGGGGAUGACCUUGUUCCUUAAAUUAAGCAGGUCAUCUUCCCCAAACUUGCCUGUGUUCCUUUUUGUUGUGGGUCCAGAGCUUCCUGGGAGCACGUGCUCCUGCUCCUGUCCAGCGUUGGGAACUACCCCCUCUGUCCUCACCCUCAGUCUUCCUCGAAGUUACCUGUCUCUCCCCUCACCUGUCCCUCCCCAAAGGGCACUCCAGCACCCCUUUCCUGGGGAUCUUGCAACCCCAAUGAGGUCAGCGUGGUGCAGCCAGAAUUCCCAAUGGAUUUCUUUGGUGUGGUUUCUUAGGUUCUCUCAUCCCUCUACCCACUUGGUGAUUUUUGGCAUAACUGUAUACCACCUGCACUGUUAUUUAUUGGAUGCAUUCAAACGUUUGAUUCACUUAUUUAAGCUCAGAGUUCCCGUCGUGGCUCAGUGGUUAACGAAUCUGACUAGGAACCAUGAGGUUGCAGGUUCGAUCCCUGGCCUUGCUCAGUGGGUUAGGUAUCUGACAUUGCCGUGAGCUGUGGCAUAGGUUGCAGACGCGGCUCGGAUCCCGCGUUGCUGUGGCUCUGGUGUGCGGUGGCUAUAGCUCCGAUUUGAUCCCUAGCCUGGGAAUCUCCAUAUGCCACGGGAGUGGCCCAAGAAAUGGC